GGAAGGAUCAUUAACACGUAUCCACGUAUACACACACACCGUGCACAUGUUCUCCACGCGCACCCAUACGCACCGCAGCGGCGUGCAUCCGUCGAGAGACGGACGCACACGGCGCAUGCCUGGGAGCCGUCAACACACACACACACAUUCACACCCAUACUUUUGCUAGUUGAUUUCUAUCUGUUACACCCGCGCACUCGCCUCACCGCGUACGUGCACGCGUGUGUACACACGGUCACUUACCUGAACGUAUACACAUACAACUCUUAGCAAUGGAUAUCUUGGUUCUCGCAACGAUGAAGAACGCAGCGAAAUGCGAUACGUAGUGCGAAUUGCAGAAUUCAGUGAAUCAUCAAAUCUUUGAACGCAAAUUGCGCUCUUGGGUAGCCCUAGGAGCACGCCUCUCUCAGUAUCGGUCCACACACAUCUCACACGCACGCACGCUGGCUCGCGCCACCGCGCGCGCUGUGGAGACUGCGCGUCGUACUAUACCCAUAGUGCGUCGCGUCGAAAUCGAUCGAAUGAGGUAUCGCUGCUCGAACGCGGCCUGCGCCGUCGUCACCCGCAUGCGGGUGACACACGCAGACCGCACGCCACAGGUACACACGGCGUGCAACGGCGAGUGACGUGAAUACUGGCCGCCCAGCGCGACCGCACAUUUACGUGUAACUCACCACCGCAUGUAUUCAACGUGAGUGCGCACACGCGCAUGUUCGAGCGCAGCUGUGAUACCAUCAUGACAACAGCGACGAGCGACCAUACUCGCGUAUGGUCGCAUCGGCGCAAUCGACUCGUCACCGUGCAUCCGUGCCCUGUGCCGUGUCGAUUCCCCCCCAUACACGAUCUGAGAUGAAGCGAGACAACCCCCUGAAUUUAAGCAUAUUAAUAAGGGGAGGAAAAGAAACUAACAAGGAUUCCCCCAGUAACGGCGAGUGAAGCGGGAUGAGCUCAAUGUGAGAAUCGACCACCCAAGCGGGUCGUCGAGUUGUAGCCUAGCGACGUACCAUCAGCGGGCACCUGGGUAUAAGUUCUUUGGAAUGAGGCAUCAUAGAGGGUGAGAAUCCCGUAUAUGACCCAAAGCGGCCCGCGUACGAUGUAUGUUCCUCGAGUCGAGUUGUUUGGGAUUGCAGCUCUAAAUGGGUGGUAAGUUUCAUCUAAAGCUAAAUAUAGGCGAGAGACCGAUAGCGAACAAGUACCGUGAGGGAAAGAUGAAAAGAACUUUGAAAAGAGAGUUAAAAGUACUUGAAAUUGCUAAGAGGGAAGCGCUGGCAACCAGUCACACCGUCGCGUACAUCGCUCGCGGCCCCACUGGUAUGCGUGCCGUCGUUGGAAACUCGACGUGCGCAUACGACCGGGUGGCUGCGGGUUCAGUACGUGGCGUGAGUCAAGAUCCAUUCGGGUGCGCGGGAGACGGUGACGAGAAAGGUAGGCGACUCCGGUCGCUGUUAUAGUCUUGCCAUCACACCGCAGCCCUGGAUGGAGGAAGGAAUAGUGCGCCGCCUGGCGGCUUAGUCCUCGGUCCCUAUUGGCCCACUCGCCUUGAUAGCAAUGCUAUCCUGGUGACGACGCGUCGAUACUGGCUCCGGGUGACUCUAUGUGCUAUCACGAUCUUGUACGAAAUGGUUGCCAUCGACCCGUCUUGAAACACGGACCAAGGAGUCUAACAUCUAUGCGAGUAUUUGAGUGACAAACUCGAAUGCGCAAUGAAAGUAAAGGCUGCCCUCGCGGCGGCUGAGGUAGGAAUCCGGUCACACGGAGGCACUAUCGACCGAUCAUCACUUGUGAAAGAUUUGAGUACGAGCAUAUCUGUUGGGACCCGAAAGAUGGUGAUCUAUGCCUGAACAGGGUGAAGCCAGGGGAAACUCUGGUGGAGGCUCGUAGCGAUACUGACGUGCAAAUCGUUCGUCUGAUUUGGGUAUAGGGGCGAAAGACUAAUCGAACCAUCUAGUAGCUGGUUCCCUC
rnacentral:misc_RNA from 1 species